AUUGAACGCUGGCGGCAGGCCUAACACAUGCAAGUCGGACGGUAGCACAGAGGAGCUUGCUCCUCGGGUGACGAGUGGCGGACGGGUGAGUAAUGUCUGGGGAUCUGCCCGAUAGAGGGGGAUAACCACUGGAAACGGUGGCUAAUACCGCAUAACGUCGCAAGACCAAAGAGGGGGACCUUCGGGCCUCUCACUAUCGGAUGAACCCAGAUGGGAUUAGCUAGUAGGCGGGGUAACGGACCACCUAGGCGACGAUCCCUAUCUGGUCUGAUAGGAGGACCGACAACCUAGGAACUGGUACACGGGCCAGACUCCUACGGGAGGAAGCAAUGGGGAAUAUUGCACAAUGGGGGCAAACCUGAUGCAGCCAGGCCGCGUGUAUGAAGAAGGCCUUCGGGUUGUAAAGUACUUUCAGCGGGGAGGAAGGCGAUGUGGUUAAUAACCGCGUCGAUUGGCGUUACCCGCAGAAGAAGCACCGGCUAACUCCGUGCCAGCAGCCGCCGCGG
rnacentral:rRNA from 1 species